AUCUGGAUAGCUUAGUUAGUUAGAGCAUGGUGCUGACAACGCCAAGGUUGUGGGUUCGAUCCCCGUAAAGGACA